rnacentral:rRNA from 1 species
UUCACCCUACGGGGGGCAGCAGUGGGGAAUAUUGCACAAUGGGGGAAACCCUGAUGCAGCGACGCCGCGUGAGCGAUGAAGUAUUUCGGUAUGUAAAGCUCUAUCAGCAGGGAAGAAAAUGACGGUACCUGACUAAGAAGCCCCGGCUAACUACGUGCCAGCAGCCGCGGUAAUACGUAGGGGGCAAGCGUUAUCCGGAUUUACUGGGUGUAAAGGGAGCGUAGACGGCCAUUCAAGCCAGAUGUGAAAGCCCGGGGCUCAACCCCGGGACUGCAUUUGGAACUGUGUGGCUAGAGUGUCGGAGG